GCUCCGGUUGCCUAGUGGUUAGAGCGUCCGCUUUGGAUGCGGUUGGCUUGGGUUCAAACCCCGGUCGAGUCA